ACGGGUGAGUAAUGUCUGGGAAACUGCCUGAUGGAGGGGGAUAACUACUGGAAACGGUGGCUAAUACCGCAUAACCUCGCAAGAGCAAAGAGGGGGACCUUCGGGCCUCUCGCCAUCAGAUGUGCCCAGAUGGGAUUAGCUAGUAGGUGAGGUAAUGGCUCACCUAGGCGACGAUCCCUAGCUGGUCUGAGAGGAUGACCAGCCACACUGGAACUGAGACACGGUCCAGACUCCUACGGGAGGCAGCAGUGGGGAAUAUUGCACAAUGGGCGCAAGCCUGAUGCAGCCAUGCCGCGUGUGUGAAGAAGGCCUUCGGGUUGUAAAGCACUUUCAGCGAGGAGGAAGGCAGUCGUGUUAAUAGCACGGCUGAUUGACGUUACUCGCAGAAGAGGCACCGGCUAACUCCGUGCCAGCAGCCGCGGUAAUACGGAGGGUGCAAGCGUUAAUCGGAAUGACUGGGCGUAAAGCGCACGCAGGCGGUCUGUUAAGUUGGAUGUGAAAUCCCCGGGCUUAACCUGGGAACUGCAUUCAAAACUGACAGGCUAGAGUCUUGUAGAGGGGGGUAGAAUUCCAGGUGUAGCAG
rnacentral:rRNA from 1 species